ACAACACCACGUAUGAGAUUCUGGAUGUCCCACCGGUUUUUCCUUGACACUUUACAUCUAAAACAAAACCCGGCAAAGGAGAAAUAAGCGUCCAAACACAUCGCCGCUGACCCAAGACCCUGAAUACUUGGAAGACACAAGAGUUGUACUUUCUGAAAAUGCACAGAAUCAGAGAAAAAAUGAAUGAAGAAAAAAUGGAAG